rnacentral:tRNA from 13 species
CAGCUGUGGUCUAGUGGCAAAUCGCGCGACUAUCGCUCCCGCGAUCGCGGGUUCGACUCCGGCUUCCG